rnacentral:rRNA from 1 species
CCUACGGGUGACAGCAGUGGGGAAUAUUGGACAAUGGGGGGAACCCUGAUCCAGCGACGCCGCGUGAGUGAAGAAGUAUUUCGGUAUGUAAAGCUCUAUUAGCAGGGAAGAAAGAAAUGACGGUACCUGACUAAGAAGCCCCGGCUAACUACGUGCCAGCAGCCGCGGUAAUACGUAGGGGGCAAGCGUUAUCCGGAUUUACUGGGUGUAAAGGGAGCGUAGACGGCGAUGCAAGUCUGAAGUGAAAGGCGGGGGCUCAACCCCUGGACUGCUUUGGAAACUGUAUGGCUGGAGUGCAGGAGAGGUAAGUGGAAUUCCUAGUGUAGCGGUGAAAUGCGUAGAUAUUAGGAGGAACACCAGUGGCGAAGGCGGCUUACUGGACUGUAACUGACGUUGAGGCUCGAAAGCGUGGGGAGCAAACAGGAUUAGAUACCCGAGUAGUC